UACGAAGGGGGCUAGCGUUGCUCGGAAUCACUGGGCGUAAAGGGUGCGUAGGCGGGUCUUUAAGUCAGGGGUGAAAUCCUGGAGCUCAACUCCAGAACUGCCUUUGAUACUGAGGAUCUUGAGUUCGGGAGAGGUGAGUGGAACUGCGAGUGUAGAGGUGAAAUUCGUAGAUAUUCGCAAGAACACCAGUGGCGAAGGCGGA
rnacentral:rRNA from 1 species